GACGAACGCUGGCGGCGUGCUUAACACAUGCAAGUCGAACGGAAAGGCCCUGCUUUUGUGGGGUGCUCGAGUGGCGAACGGGUGAGUAACACGUGAGUAACCUGCCCUUGACUUUGGGAUAACUUCAGGAAACUGGGGCUAAUACCGGAUAGGAGCUCCUGCUGCAUUGUGUGCGUUAGAAAGUUUCGGCGGUUGGGGAUGGACUCGCGGCUUAUCAGCUUUAUGGUGAGGUAGUGGCUUACCAAGGCUUUGACGGGUAGCCGGCCUGAGAGGGUGACCGGCGACAUUGGGACUGAGAUACGGACCAGACUCCUACGGGAGGCAGCAGUGGGGAAUAUUGCACAAUGGGCGGAAGCCUGAUGCAGCAACGCCGCGUGCGGGAUGACGGCCUUCGGGUUGUAAACCGCUUUCGCCUGUGACGAAGCGUGAGUGACGGUAAUGGGUAAAGAAGCACCGGCUAACUACGUG
rnacentral:rRNA from 1 species